rnacentral:rRNA from 1 species
GUGCCAGCAGCCGCGGUAAUACGUAGGUGGCGAGCGUUGUCCGGAAUCAUUGGGCGUAAAGCGCGCGUAGGCGGCUUGUCAGGUCUGAUGUGAAAUCUCGGGGCUCAACCCCAAGCGUGCAUCGGAAACCGGCUUGCUAGAGUCUGGAAGAGGAGAGUGGAAUUCCUGGUGUAGCGGUGAAAUGCGUAGAUAUCAGGAGGAACACCGGUUGCGAAGGCGGCUCUCUGGGACAGUACUGACGCUGAGGCGCGAAAGCUAGGGGAGCAAACAGGAUUAGAUACCCUGGUAGUCCUAGCCGUAAACGAUGGACACUAGGUGUCGGGGGUGUCGACUCCCUCGGUGCCGAAGCUAACGCAUUAAGUGUCCCGCCUGGGGAGUACGGCCGCAAGGCUAAA